rnacentral:rRNA from 1 species
GAUGAACGCUGGCGGCGUGCCUAAUACAUGCAAGUCGAGCGAACAGACGAGGAGCUUGCUCCUCUGACGUUAGCGGCGGACGGGUGAGUAACACGUGGAUAACCUACCUAUAAGACUGGGAUAACUUCGGGAAACCGGAGCUAAUACCGGAUAAUAUAUUGAACCGCAUGGUUCAAUAGUGAAAGACGGUUUUGCUGUCACUUAUAGAUGGAUCCGCGCCGCAUUAGCUAGUUGGUAAGGUAACGGCUUACCAAGGCAACGAUGCGUAGCCGACCUGAGAGGGUGAUCGGCCACACUGGAACUGAGACACGGUCCAGACUCCUACGGGAGGCAGCAGUAGGGAAUCUUCCGCAAUGGGCGAAAGCCUGGCGGAGCAACGCCGCGUGAGCGAUGAAGGUCUUCGGAUCGUAAAACUCUGUUAUUAGGGAAGAACAAAUGUGUAAGUAACUAUGCACGUCUUGACGGUACCUAAUCAGAAAGCCACGGCUAACUACGUG